GACGAACGCUGGCGGCGUGCUUAACACAUGCAAGUCGAGCGGUAAGGCCCUUUUGGGGGUACACGAGCGGCGAACGGGUGAGUAACACGUGGGUGACCUGCCCUCAGCUCUGGGAUAAGCCUGGGAAACUGGGUCUAAUACUGGAUAUGACCUUUCCUCGCAUGGGGUUGGGUGGAAAGUUUUUCGGCUGGGGAUGGGCCCGCGGCCUAUCAGCUUGUUGGUGGGGUGAUGGCCUACCAAGGCGACGACGGGUAGCCGGCCUGAGAGGGCGACCGGCCACACUGGGACUGAGACACGGCCCAGACUCCUACGGGAGGCAGCAGUGGGGAAUAUUGCGCAAUGGGCGGAAGCCUGACGCAGCGACGCCGCGUGGGGA
rnacentral:rRNA from 1 species